AUUGAACGCUGGCGGCAUGCCUUACACAUGCAAGUCGAACGGCAGCAUGGAGAGCUUGCUCUCUGAUGGCGAGUGGCGAACGGGUGAGUAAUGCAUCGGAACGUACCGUGUAAUGGGGGAUAACGUAGCGAAAGUCACGCUAAUACCGCAUACGACCUGAGGGUGAAAGCAGGGGAUCGCAAGACCUUGCGUUAUACGAGCGGCCGAUGUCAGAUUAGCUAGUUGGUGAGGUAAAGGCCCACCAAGGCGACGAUCUGUAGCGGGUCUGAGAGGAUGAUCCGCCACACUGGGACUGGGACACGGCCCAGAUUCCUACGGGAGGCAGCAGUGGGGAAUUUUGGACAAUGGGGGCAACCCUGAUCCAGCCAUGCCGCGUGAGUGAAGAAGGCCUUCGGGUUGUAAAGCUCUUUCGGCCGGGAAGAAAUCGCACAGGCUAAUACUCUGUGUGGAUGACGGUACCGGCAUAAGAAGCACCGGCUAACUACGUGCCAGCCGCCGCUGUAA
rnacentral:rRNA from 1 species